GAAAAUAUUUUGUAGCAAUUAUGCGCUUCACCUACCAUCUGCAACGCGUCGCUUAGGACGUCCCUGCCAUUCACCUCUUUUUGUGGAAGAAAUGGAUGCUCCCAAACGUUAUAUAUUUCUUCUUGUGUUUGUCGUCCAUAUGAGAGUCAUCCUCAGUUGGCAUGUCCCUGAAGAAUUUUGCAUGAAAUGUCGUUGUUCUUACCCUUCGCAUCAAGCCUGCCUCGUUCCUCGAUCUCCGUGCGUCUGUUAUCAUGGGGUGCUACGUGAUAUGUCGACUGCCAGCUGCGUUACCAGCAGGCGAAGCUGCAGAUGGAGAUGAAAGCGCGAAUAGGACACCGGCUAACAAGGCAAACUGUGUCGCUUCUUUUCGGUGGCGCUGCUUCUAACCGACAACUGACACAGAAUCCCUGAAAAUAAAAUUUCAUGUUACUCCCGACAAGUUCA